rnacentral:rRNA from 3 species
UACGUAGGGUGCGAGCGUUAAUCGGAAUUACUGGGCGUAAAGCGUGCGCAGGCGGUGAUGUAAGACAGAUGUGAAAUCCCCGGGCUCAACCUGGGAACUGCAUUUGUGACUGCAUCGCUGGAGUGCGGCAGAGGGGGAUGGAAUUCCGCGUGUAGCAGUGAAAUGCGUAGAUAUGCGGAGGAACACCGAUGGCGAAGGCAAUCCCCUGGGCCUGCACUGACGCUCAUGCACGAAAGCGUGGGGAGCAAACAGG